GGAAUAUUGGACAAUGGGCGCAAGCCUGAUCCAGCAAUGCCGCGUGAGUGAUGAAGUCCUUAGGGUUGUAAAGCUCUUUUACCCGGGAUGAUAAUGACAGUACCGGGAGAAUAAGCCCCGUCUAACUUCGUGCCAGCAGCCGCGGUAAUACGGAGGGGGCUAGCGUUGUUCGGAAUUCCUGGGCGUAAAGCGAACGUAGGCGGCUUUGUAAGUUAGAGGUGAAAGCCCGGAGCUAAACUCCGGAACUGCCUUUAAGACUGCAUCGCUAGAACGUUGGAGAGGUAAGUGGAAUUCCGAGUGUAGAGGUGAAAUUCGUAGAUAUUCGGAAGAACACCAGUGGCGAAGGCGACUUACUGGACAACUGUUGACGCUGAGGUGCGAAAGCGUGGGGAGCAAAC
rnacentral:rRNA from 1 species